UAAUUUGAUUAAGAAUAAAUUUAUUAAUUAGUAAAAGUUUAUUUUAUUUUUAAUUAAAAUAAUAUUAAAAAUUAUUGUUUUUUGUAAAGUUUAUUGAUCAAAUAAUUUUAAUUAUAGUAAAUUAGUAUUGUAAAAGAAUAUUGAAAUAAAUGAAAAUAAAUUUUUUAGAAAGUUUUAUUUAAUUUAAGUACCUUUUGUAUCAGGGUUUAUUAAAUAAAUUUUAUUUAUAUAAAAUUUUCGAAUUUAAAAGAUUUAAUAAAUUAUGAAAUUUAAUGUGUUAUAAUUAUUUUAAAUAAUUUAUUAGUAAUGAAAUGUUAUUCGUUUUUAAAUAUAUCUAAUUUUUUAAGAAAUAAAUUUAAUUUAUAUAUUUUUAAUAUAAAUUAUUUAAUAAUAAAUAAUUUAUUUAUUAAUAUAAAUAUAUUAAGGGAUAAGCUUUAAUUUAUUAUCUAAAAUUUUUAAAAAUUAAUUAAAUUAUAAGUUUAGAAAUAGCUAUUAAUAAAAAUUUUGUUUUAAUUUAUUAAUUAAUAAAAUAUUUUUAUGUAAAUUUAGAUUUUAUAUUAAAAUAAUUAUUUAAAUUAUAUAAAUAAUUUGAUAAUGAUAAAAUUAGUAAAAUAAAUUGUUUGAAUAAAUUAAUAAUAAUAAAGAUUAAUUUAAGGAAUUCGGCAAAUAUAAUACUCACCUGUUUAACAAAAACAUGUCUUUUUGAUAAUAAUUUAAAGUCUAACCUGCCCACUGAAAUUUUUAAAGGGCCGCGGUAUUUUGACUGUGCAAAGGUAGCAUAAUCAUUAGUCUUUUAAUUGAAGGCUUGUAUGAAUGGUUGGAUGAGGUAUUAACUGUCUCAAAUUAAUAAAUAAUUGAAUUUAAUUUUUAAGUUAAAAAGCUUAAAUAUAAUUAGAGGACGAGAAGACCCUAUAGAUCUUUAUAAUUUAUUUAUUUAUUAUAUUUUUAGUUAAUUAAUUUUAGUAAAUAAUAUAAUUAUUUUAUUGGGGUGAUAGAAAAAUUUAAUAAACUUUUUUUUAUUUAAACAUAAAUUUAUGAAUAAUUGAUCCAUUAUUAAUGAUUAUAAGAAUAAGUUACCUUAGGGAUAACAGCGUAAUUUUUUUAGAGAGUUCUUAUCGAUAAAAAAGAUUGCGACCUCGAUGUUGAAUUAAAGUUAAAUUUUAGGUGCAAAAGUUUAAAAUUUUGGUCUGUUCGACCUUUAAAUCUUUACAUGAUUUGAGUUCAAACCGGCGUGAGCCAGGUUGGUUUCUAUCCUUAAUUUAUUUAAAAUAUUUUAGUACGAAAGGACCAAAUAUUUAAUAUAUUAUUUAUUAAAUGAAUAUAAUUAAU
rnacentral:rRNA from 1 species